CAGUGAGCCAAGGCUGGCGCCGAGCUCGGUGGGCGCUGGUCCCGGCUAGGGUGGGGGGAGCAGACAAGUCCGUUUUUCUAGGCUUUACUUCUCAUCUCAUCUUCACAGUUUCUACCUUUGACCAGGAUAAGCGUUCACGCCUUCCCCACACUUCGGCCCAGCUCCCACUUUUCCUGCAGGGGCCUGUCUGCCUGGUCAGGCAGUUUCUCAGCAAGGCUGUGCAGAGAAGAGGCAGAGAAAGCAGACGCAUGUGGCCGUCCGUGUGGAGUAACAUCUAGGGGGACUGCACUUCUCAUGAGGGGCGGCGCAAAUGCUCUACAUAUAUUAUCUCAUUUAAUAAUAAUCCAUUCUACAUAAGAAUCCUAUGAGGUCAUUUUACAGAAGGAUUUCGGAUGUGAGGUAAUUUUCUCUAAGUCACAUAAUUACUUCG
rnacentral:lncRNA from 1 species